CGGGGUGCACCAGGCGCGAAAACUUUACAAUGCUGGAAACAGCGAUAAGGGGACCUCGAGUGCCAGGUUACAAAUCUGGCUGUCGUGAUGCCUAAAAAGCAUUGCAUAGCAAGGGCCGGGCAAGACCGGUGCCAGCCGCCGCGGUAACACCGGCGGCUCGAGUGGUAACCGUUAUUAUUGGGUCUAAAGGGUCUGUAGCCGGCCGGAUAAGUCUCUUGGGAAAUCCAGCAGCUCAACUGUUGGGCUUUCAGGAGAUACUGUCUGGCUCGAGGCCGGGAGAGGUGAGAGGUACUUCAGGGGUAGGGGUGAAAUCUUGUAAUCCUUGAAGGACCACCAGUGGCGAAGGCGUCUCACCAGAACGGACCUGACGGCAAGGGACGAAAGCUAGGGGCACGAACCGGAUUAGAUACCCGGGUAGUCCUAGCCGUAAACGAUACUCGCUAGGUGUCGGCCACGGUGCGACCGUUGUCGGUGCCGUAGGGAAGCCGUGAAGCGAGCCACCUGGGAAGUACGGCCGCAAGGCUGAAACUUAAAGGAAUUGGCGGGGGAGCACAAGGGCGAAUCGCGG
rnacentral:rRNA from 1 species